GACGAACGCUGGCGGCGUGCUUAACACAUGCAAGUCGAACGGAGAGGCCCUGCUUUUGUGGGGUGCUCGAGUGGCGAACGGGUGAGUAACACGUGAGUAACCUGCCCAUGACUUUGGGAUAACUUCAGGAAACUGGGGCUAAUACCGGAUAGGAGCUCCUGCUGCAUGGGGGGGGUUGGAAAGUUUCGGCGGUUGGGGAUGGACUCGCGGCUUAUCAGCCUGUUGGUGGGGUAGUGGCUUACCAAGGCUUUGACGGGUAGCCGGCCUGAGAGGGUGACCGGCCACAUUGGGACUGAGAUACGGCCCAGACUCCUACGGGAGGCAGCAGUGGGGAAUAUUGCACAAUGGGCGGAAGCCUGAUGCAGCAACGCCGCGUGCGGGAUGACGGCCUUCGGGUUGUAAACCGCUUUCGCCUGUGACGAAGCGUGAGUGACGGUAAUGGGUAAAGAAGCACCGGCUAACUACGUG
rnacentral:rRNA from 1 species